AUUGAACGCUGGCGGAAUGCUUUACACAUGCAAGUCGAGCGGCAGCACGGGGGCAACCCUGGUGGCGAGCGGCGAACGGGUGAGUAAUACAUCGGAACAUGCCCAGUCGUGGGGGAUAACACUUCGAAAGAAGUGCUAAUACCGCAUACGUCCUGAGGGAGAAAGCGGGGGAUCGCAAGACCUCGCGCGAUUGGAGUGGCCGAUGUCAGAUUAGCUAGUUGGUGGGGUAAAGGCCUACCAAGGCAACGAUCUGUAGCUGGUCUGAGAGGAUGAUCAGCCACACUGGGACUGAGACACGGCCCAGACUCCUACGGGAGGCAGCAGUGGGGAAUUUUGGACAAUGGGGGCAACCCUGAUCCAGCCAUGCCGCGUGAGUGAAGAAGGCCUUCGGGUUGUAAAGCUCUUUCGGCAGGAACGAAACGGCGAGCUCUAACAUAGCUUGCUAAUGACGGUACCUGAAGAAGAAGCACCGGCCAACUACGUG
rnacentral:rRNA from 1 species